CCGACUUCCCACUUUACUCGAAUGCAGCUUACAUAUUAGGUAUAGGUGAGCUAAGUUCCUUUCACUAUAACAAAAUAACUGAGCAAUUUAACAGUCACGGUACUUGUGACUACAUGCAGGCUCACUGAUGAAUGGAGUUGAAUGUAGGAGCUGCAUGCUCCUGUAUGACACCUGGUUCAUCGGUGUUAUUCAGGCAAUCAGUAAUUACAGUUAGUGUCAAAACAUCUUCACCUAGUAAUUUAUCAAUAUGCACUUGAAAAUUUGGAGUAGCACUUCAGAUGAACGCCUUUUAUUUUUUUUCUCUCUAGGAAAUGACCGCUGGAGACUAAUUAAAAAAAAAACAAGCAUUAUUGUGGGGUAGCUGGAAUUCCAGAGGUGGGAACUUAACCAAAUUUUGUCACGACCUGGGCAUCCUUCCGUAUAAUGGUCCCCAUAUCCCCAUCUAUCCUUGAAAAGUCCUCCCACCACCGAUUCCGUCCCCCGUCCAUCAUCCCUCUGUUUAAUCAAAAAAAAAUUCAACAGAUGAAGACAAAUUUCAAAAGUCAUGUUAGUGUGCCGAAACGAUCUGUCGGACGGACUGAGAGUUUAGGCAACACUUGACCCAGAUAGAGAUGGAAGAAAACCCACUUACAUCACUCCAUAAUUCGUCCUUUUUUUUUUUUUUUACUUCCUCAUACCUCGUCCUUCUUCAGCAUGCGUGGCCGUACGGGACAGACACUGUUCUUUCCCUCUGUGGAAUUCUACCUUUCAAGUCUUUCUCAAUAGGUAAAGAUGCUCCAACAAUUAGAUCAUCUAUUUUAUUUGCUGCAAGUCAAAACUGCCAGAAUGAAAAGCUUAUUGAUGGCUCAUGUUUCACUGAGAGCAUCCUGCUUGUAUUAUUCAGCAUUCGAUCUCAUUCUAGAUGUGUUUGAGAUAUGUCAUCAGUGUCUCUUGGCUUUAUAAAAUGUGAUGGUAGACAUCCACAUUUGUUCUCACGAUGUAUAAUGAUUUGGUCUAACACUAAUCUGUUUCAUGUUUGAAGUUGUAUGAAUUAUUUUCUUUCCCCGAACUCGGUUCUUCUCAUGCUGUUAUUUUGCUGCUCGCAUGGCCUUUGGCUUCAUAUCACUAUUCUCGUGCCUUGUUUAACUACUGUAUAUGGUGAAUGUUGUAAAGUACAGAUGGGGAUGAGAAAAAUAAUCACACUGAUAAACAUUUAAAAGUCUCAGUCAAAACAUAUUUAAAUUAUAAUAUUGAAUAGGCUACAGAGCUUUUCUAGUGCUGAACAUCUAAGGUUUGGUAAUGCCUGGGCAACUUUGUGUUAUAUUGGAUCUAUCAUUAUGGACAUUUUGGAUGUUUUCUGUACAGUAGAAUUUGCAAAUGUAUAUGCAGCCUUUUGGAAAUAAAUGUACAGUUGAAAGUGA